CCUACGGGUGGCUGCAGUGGGGAAUAUUGGACAAUGGGCGAAAGCCUGAUCCAGCCAUGCCGCGUGUGUGAAGAAGGCCUUCGGGUUGUAAAGCACUUUCAGUGGGGAAGAAAGCCUUGGGGCUAAUACCCUCGAGGAAGGACAUCACCCACAGAAGAAGCACCGGCUAACUCCGUGCAAGCAGCCGCGGUAAUACGGAGGGUGCGAGCGUUAAUCGGAAUUACUGGGCGUAAAGCGCGCGUAGGCGGUCUGAUAAGCCGGUUGUGAAAGCCCCGGGCUCAACCUGGGAACGGCAUCCGGAACUGUCAGGCUAGAGUGCAGGAGAGGAAAGUAGAAUUCCCGGUGUAGCGGUGAAAUGCGUAGAGAUCGGGAGGAAUACCAGUGGCGAAGGCGGCCUUCUGGACUGACACUGACGCUGAGGUGCGAAAGCGUGGGUAGCAAACAGGAUUAGAUACCCUAGUAGUC
rnacentral:rRNA from 1 species